AACGAACGCUGGCGGCAUGCCUAACACAUGCAAGUCGAACGAAGGCUUCGGCCUUAGUGGCGCACGGGUGCGUAACACGUGGGAAUCUGCCCUUUGCUUCGGAAUAACAGUUAGAAAUGACUGCUAAUACCGGAUGAUGUCGUAAGACCAAAGAUUUAUCGGCAAAGGAUGAGCCCGCGUAGGAUUAGCUAGUUGGUGGGGUAAAGGCUGACCAAGGCGACGAUCCUUAGCUGGUCUGAGAGGAUGAUCAGCCACACUGGGACUGAGACACGGCCCAGACUCCUACGGGAGGCAGCAGUGGGGAAUAUUGGACAAUGGGCGAAAGCCUGAUCCAGCAAUGCCGCGUGAGUGAUGAAGGCCUUAGGGUUGUAAAACUCUUUCGCCGGUGAAGAUAAUGACGGUAGCCGGAGAAGAAGCCCCGGCUAACUUCGUGCCAGCCGCCGCCGUAAAAC
rnacentral:rRNA from 1 species